GCAUGAGACAGGUGGAUCUGGACCACGUCCCGAGGACAAGAGAGAUACUGCUAUAGGAUCUGAUGAGCAUAUGCAUGAGACAGGUGGAUCUGGACCACGUCCUGGGGACAAGAGAGAUACUGCUACAGGAUCUGAUGAGCAUAUGCAUGAGACAGGUGGAUCUGGACCACGUCCUGGGGACAAGAGACCACGAGAUGUUAUUGAUGAUAGCACUUAGAUUUUACUAUUUAUUUGGCUUUGAUAUGUACUUUUU